UCAUUUUGUUUAUAUUUGUCGCACCUUGCACAUGUUGAGAAAAGUCAAAGUCAAGUUGAUUGCAUAGUUCCUCUGGUCUCUCGUUGAUGUUGACAAAGUAUCAUGUUGAGUAUAUGAUUAAUAAGGACUAUGCGGAAAUAUCCACAAAGCAAGUUCAAUAUUUUUGGUGCAGGUCUGAAAAUAACCCUGGUCGUUGAAGUUGGAAUAUUGGCUACGUCCUUUAUAUGGUUCAAAAGGCUUAAUAACUCACAAGGACUUAGAUAUGAGUAUAGUCAGAAACAUCCAAAAAUUUUAGAAUAUUACUAUAAAGUAGACGACAUGAUUGGAAAUAGUCAAAUUAGGAAAUCUGAUCAAGAAGCUUGGAAGAAAGCCAGUUUGAUGCGAAAAUAAAUUAUAUGUACUUUUAGAUAUUUUGUAACUAUACAUCAAUUUUGUAAUUAUGAAUAAUAAACUUAUCUUAAUAUAUCUUUUAUAAAAGUACAA